AGUGCUUUCAAGGAAGAGCUAGCAGAUGUUGACAUUGUUGCGUUUGGGGGCCCUUUUUGUGCUAGGGAUGGUGAUACAGGUGGGAUGGGCUUGGUAGCAGCAGAAGUACUAGGCUCACUCCUAGCUACUGCUUGCGGUCCUACAUGCUCUCGAUGAAAGGACCUUUGCAGGUUGUUUGUUCAUCGCUGGUGGAUGGGACUGAGACAAGGGUAAGGCAGAGAGGCUUUCGCUCUUCACCAUUUCCUAGUCUCAGAGAGAGACUGCCGUGGCUGCAAGUAGUUGCCUUGCAAGUGCCAGCUUCGAAGAAAUGGAUUAGAAGAACAGACUCGUUCAGCCAUGUGUUCAUGCAACAGAAAUGUCGAGGGUGGGCUUUCUCAAGCUAACGUCUUUGAGAUGUAAACGGGCCUCUACUCCACCCUUCUAGACUACCUAGAGAACCUCAAGCUGUCUGGUCACCUAGCCCAGACUGAAAAAGAGAAAGGACAUAAAAGAAACCAUGUAAAAACUGAUUUUAAAUAAAAAUCCAUAUCAUUC
rnacentral:lncRNA from 1 species